AACACGAAGCCCGGGCAUCCAGAAGCGUGGCCUUCAUCGCCUGGGUGACAGGGCUUCGUAGAUUGGGCGGCCAAUUUCAACGCCUAGGCCUUACAUGAGGGCCAAUUCUCACCCGGGCGGCCUCCUUGGACGCUUGAGCGACGACUUUAGUGAAUCGGGCCCUGUUUCUGCUCUAUUUUGAUUCUUUUGGACCGGACCUCAUUUUGGCAUGCCUCUAACACUUUUUAAAGGACCAUGGGGCUUUAGGUUUUGCAUCCCUGGCAGAGAAGAACAUAGCAAUACACUCUUUUACCAAUUCUUAGGCUUUCAUUCUCUUUCUUUCUUC
rnacentral:lncRNA from 1 species